GAGGGUAUAGCCCAGUGGUAGAGCAUGUGCUUAGCAUGCACAAGGUCCUGGGUUCAAUCCCCAGUACCUCUG
rnacentral:tRNA from 1 species